CUUCAUUUUCUUCUAUGUUUAUUGAUGGGAUUCAAAAUUAUGGCAGCUCAUGUUUAGCAAGUUUGAAUUUGAUGGGAAACUGAAUCCUACUUUUGUGGAAGGGGCAUUUAAGCUCCUAUUAUCAAGCAUACAAGCAUAUCUAAAAGAGCCUAUUACUCCCAGUGUAGGUUCGUACACUCAGGUUCUGCAGGAGUUACCUGACCUGACAGGCCUGGACUUGAUCUAAGUAAACAACCUCCUGCUGUUCGCUUAAACAAUGAAUUGGAUUUUAUACUGACAUUCAAGUUCAAGAUUUAGCUCUUUCGAUUUUGUACAUUGAUAAGUUUUGGAUAAGGGGGAGGACUUAAUAUGGGAAAUGGAAUACCAUAUACAAUUGUGAGGCCUUGUGCAUUAACUGAGGAGCCUGCCGGAGCAGAUCUCAUUUUUGACAAAGGAGACAAUAUAAUGGGUAAGAUAUCAAGAGAGGAGGUUGCUCAGAUUUGUGUUGCUGUUGUAGUGCUUAAUGGAACUGCUUGAACUA